GUCUACGGCCAUACCACCCUGAACUUGCCCAAUCUCAUCUGAUCUCAGAAGCGUAGCAGGGCCAGGGCUUGCUUAGUACUCGGAUGGGAGAGGAAGCAGGGAGGAAGACA
rnacentral:rRNA from 1 species